GAUGUCUGUGAGGUUUCCUCCCAAGUGCUCAGAUCGCAGUCCUGGUGGCGUAUUUUUUAGCCUGAAAUCCCAAGCAAUCCGAGGGCUGGGCUGGAUUCUUUACUUCUCACAUCUGGUCCGCAUUAAGCAAACCCUUAAUGCUGCCCAGGCUGAGUACAAGGGCAGCACCUGCAGCACCGGGCAGAGCAGACCCACAGCUGGGGUGAGUUAUAUAUAACCCCAGCAGCUCUUUCUUCAGCUUCAGCUGGGUGCUUGACCCUAAUAUCUGCUGGUGUCUGGCCAAGCAAGGUUGCAGUUGAGAGACGUUGUGGAGCCUCUUCGUCCUUUCUCUUGCGUGCUGAGGUGCUGGCUCCUCGAAAGCAGCUAGCUGUUAAUGUGCUUAAGAGUUCAGCGCAGGACACCUCAUGUUUAUCUGCUCCAUUUUGAAAGUAAACUUCCCGUCAAAUGUAAAACCCAGUUCCUGAACAUCGUUCUGGUGCUAUCAGAAAUUGCAGCCGCCCCUGUGAAGCGGUGAGGGGUGGCUCGCGGUGCGGACGGAGACCCUGCCCUGCUUCGGGGAGCCCGGCUGGGCUGGAAGCAAGCGGUGACGUUGGCCAGGCUGGGGGGUCCCUCCAGGAGGAGAGCUCUGUGCCAAUGCCGUUCCGUGUUACAAUUACAACUAUCAUCAUGUCGACUUUCAGCCACAUUUAGUUUUGCACUCUCCGACUUAGCAGUGUCUGGGAUGAUUGCAGGGCAAGCAUUAUCCGUGUCUGCCCAGCUUUCAGAGCAAGAGGCCACUAACCUGGGAAACAUCCUUAAAAAAAAAAAAAAUCCCAACCCCAUAUGAAUUGAGGCAGAAAGAGCGAUCGCAUACAAAACCGCUGUGAGGAUAAAGACGACUGCUUGCGGAGGUGGAGGGCUGGGGUCCUCCAUCCCCCCUGCCCCGGCAAGCCCCUGCUCUGCCGACACGCAGCGGCCGCUCAACUCCGUUAUUGCCGAAUAUACUUCUCCGAGAUGAGACGUACCAGCAGCUUCAUGAGUCAUUUGCCAUCCUUUGCGAGCACUCGCUCGAAUAACCUUGCACGGGACUUUCCAGAGAGCCAAAGCUCAGUCGGAGGUCAUCCUUCCAAAAGCCAGGCACCUCAAGAAUCAGCGUAUAUAUACGUAUAU